GGGUUAGUAGGUUGGUCAUGCCUCUGGUAUGUACUGGUCUCACUGAUUCCUCCUUCCUGAUGAACCUUAAUGCCAUUUAUUUGGUGUUUUGGGGAAUUUGGACUGUUACUUUGAAAAAAUUAGAGUGUUUAAAGCAGGCUUACGCCCGAAUACAUUAGCAUGGAAUAAUGAAAUAGGACGUUCGAUCCUAUUUUGUUGGUUUCUGAAUCACCGUA
rnacentral:rRNA from 1 species